UACGUAGGGUGCAAGCGUUUAAUCGGAAUUACUGGGCGUAAAGCGUGCGCAGGCGGUUAUGUAAGACAGAUGUGAAAUCCCCGGGCUCAACCUGGGAACUGCAUUUGUGACUGCAUAGCUGGAGUACGGUAGAGGGGGAUGGAAUUCCGCGUGUAGCAGUGAAAUGCGUAGAUAUGCGGAGGAACACCGAUGGCGAAGGCAAUCCCCUGGACCUGUACUGACGCUCAUGCA
rnacentral:rRNA from 1 species